GAUGAACGCCGGCGGCGUGCCUAAUACAUGCAAGUCGAGCGAACGGACGAGAAGCUUGCUUCUCUGAUGUUAGCGGCGGACGGGUGAGUAACACGUGGAUAACCUACCUAUAAGACUGGGAUAACUUCGGGAAACCGGAGCUAAUACCGGAUGAUAUUUUGAACCGCAUGGUUCAAAAGUGAAAGACGGUCUUGCUGUCACUUAUAGAUGGAUCCGCGCUGCAUUAGCUAGUUGGUAAGGUAACGGCUUACCAAGGCAACGAUGCAUAGCCGACCUGAGAGGGUGAUCGGCCACACUGGAACUGAGGCACGGUCCAGACUCCUACGGGAGGCAGCAGUAGGGAAUCUUCCGCAAUGGGCGAAAGCCUGACGGAGCAACGCCGCGUGAGUGAUGAAGGUCUUCGGAUCGUAAAACUCUGUUAUUAGGGAAGAACAUAUGUGUAAGUAACUGUGCACAUCUUGACGGUACCUAAUCAGAAAGCCACGGCUAACUACGUG
rnacentral:rRNA from 1 species